rnacentral:rRNA from 1 species
CAGCCGCCGCGGUAAUACGGAGGGAGCUAGCGUUAUUCGGAAUUACUGGGCGUAAAGCGCACGUAGGCGGCUUUGUAAGUAAGAGGUGAAAGCCCGGAGCUCAACUCCGGAACUGCCUUUUAGACUGCAUCGCUUGAAUCCAGGAGAGGUGAGUGGAAUUCCGAGUGUAGAGGUGAAAUUCGUAGAUAUUCGGAAGAACACCAGUGGCGAAGGCGGCUCACUGGACUGGUAUUGACGCUGAGGUGCGAAAGCGUGGGGAGCAAACAGGAUUAGAUACCCGCGUAGUCCCUGUCUCUUAUAA